AAAGCCUCCUUCCCAUUCCCGUCUCCUCCCCAGUCAGGUGCUGAGGAGUAUGGGCUGACUGUGCCCUCAGAUAUGUCUAACUUGGGGGUGGUUCUUGGCUCCCUCUUUUUGGAAUUAAGGAAGUGCAAGGAGACCGGGCAUGAGCACACCAACCCCUGAAUUCCCUUCCUGACCUCUGCCUCCUCCCAGGCCUCCUGUGUCCCUGGAGGCGCUGCUGAUGGGGCAGGGGUUUCUUGGUCACUGCGGGAGGAGACUGAGGAGGUGAGUCUACUCAUCUGGUCCCUGAUUCCUGUCAUAUCGGCCCCCAGCGGUGCCUGCUUCCUGCCUGCUUCCUUCUCUGCAUCCCCCUCCACAUUUCUCUUCCUAGCUGCUUGAUUCCUGGACCUUCAGGAUUUCAAGAAGAUGCCGCUACCUGGGAAGCCCCUGGGACUUUUUAACAGAAACUUACCCGAUUGGAGCAUGACUUAAAGAGACCAGAAAGGGAAGUACCUACUUUAUGGUUGGCACAAUGCCAGGGGCUUCACAUUCGUUAACUCAUUAGCUCAUUUGAUCCUCACAAGAACCCUAUUCUUCUUCUUCAUUAACAGAAGAAAUGGGGGCUUGAGAAGGCCUAAGCAACUUGCUCAAGGUCGUGUGGUAUAAGAGGCAGAGGUGAACUUUGAUAUCAGGAUUGUAGGACUCAAGGUCUGUACUGGAUCCGCUGUUUGGAGACAGAAACAGAAAAAGUUUGCCUACCCUGCUCUGCAAGCCUGUCUGCACCUCGCUCAGUUUCCUCAUCUAUGAAAUGCGAGGCCUGAGUUAGAUGCCACAAAGGAGUGAAGUGCUGGUCUCACUCUGUCACCCCAGCUGGAGUUCCUUAAAACUCAUUGAGUGACCUCCCUGGGCCGGUUGGAAACAAGCUGUUCUCCCCGCGGGUGUCCAGGCCCUUGCCAAGCAGGAGAAGAUGUCUCUCUCAUCAGGCAGAUCACUACGAUUGACCUCAAAGCGAUCCUGCAUGUCAUUGAGGAUCUUGGCAUCAUUCUCGUCAGACACAAAUGUGAUAGCCAAGCUCUUGGUGCCAAACCGGCUGGCUCUGGCCACCCAAUGCAGGUUGGUAGCCACAAUAAUUCACCAUUGAAAAUCUUUAAACUGCUGAUACUG
rnacentral:lncRNA from 10 species